rnacentral:rRNA from 1 species
UGGCGGCGUGCCUAAUACAUGCAAGUCGAACGCUUUGUGGUUCAACUGAUUUGAAGAGCUUGCUCAGAUAUGACGAUGGACAUUGCAAAGAGUGGCGAACGGGUGAGUAACACGUGGGAAACCUACCUCUUAGCAGGGGAUAACAUUUGGAAACAGAUGCUAAUACCGUAUAACAAUGACAACCGCAUGGUUGUUAUUUAAAAGAUGGUUCUGCUAUCACUAAGAGAUGGUCCCGCGGUGCAUUAGCUAGUUGGUAAGGUAAUGGCUUACCAAGGCGAUGAUGCAUAGCCGAGUUGAGAGACUGAUCGGCCACAAUGGGACUGAGACACGGCCCAUACUCCUACGGGAGGCAGCAGUAGGGAAUCUUCCACAAUGGGCGAAAGCCUGAUGGAGCAACGCCGCGUGUGUGAUGAAGGGUUUCGGCUCGUAAAACACUGUUGUAAGAGAAGAAUGACAUUGAGAGUAACUGUUCAAUGUGUGACGGUAUCUUACCAGAAAGGAACGGCUAAAUACGUGCCAGCAGCCGCGGUAAUACGUAUGUUCCAAGCGUUAUCCGGAUUUAUUGGGCGUAAAGCGAGCGCAGACGGUUAUUUAAGUCUGAAGUGAAAGCCCUCAGCUCAACUGAGGAAUUGCUUUGGAAACUGGAUGACUUGAGUGCAGUAGAGGAAAGUGGAACUCCAUGUGUAGCGGUGAAAUGCGUAGAUAUAUGGAAGAACACCAGUGGCGAAGGCGGCUUUCUGGACUGUAACUGACGUUGAGGCUCGAAAGUGUGGGUAGCAAACAGGAUUAGAUACCCUGGUAGUCCACACCGUAAACGAUGAGUGCUAGGUGUUUGAGGGUUUCCGCCCUUAAGUGCCGCAGCUAACGCAUUAAGCACUCCGCCUGGGGAGUACGACCGCAAGGUUGAAACUCAAAGGAAUUGACGGGGACCCGCACAAGCGGUGGAGCAUGUGGUUUAAUUCGAAGCAACGCGAAGAACCUUACCAGGUCUUGACAUCCCUUGACAACUCCAGAGAUGGAGCGUUCCCUUCGGGGACAAGGUGACAGGUGGUGCAUGGUUGUCGUCAGCUCGUGUCGUGAGAUGUUGGGUUAAGUCCCGCAACGAGCGCAACCCUUAUUACUAGUUGCCAGCAUUCAGUUGGGCACUCUAGUGAGACUGCCGGUGACAAACCGGAGGAAGGUGGGGAUGACGUCAAAUCAUCAUGCCCCUUAUGACCUGGGCUACACACGUGCUACAAUGGCGUAUACAACGAGUUGCCAACCCGCGAGGGUGAGCUAAUCUCUUAAAGUACGUCUCAGUUCGGAUUGUAGGCUGCAACUCGCCUACAUGAAGUCGGAAUCGCUAGUAAUCGCGGAUCAGCACGCCGCGGUGAAUACGUUCCCGGGUCUUGUACACACCGCCCGUCACACCAUGAGAGUUUGUAACACCCAAAGCCGGUGGGGUAACCUUCGGGAGCCAGCCGUCUAAGGUGGGACAGAUGAUUAGGG